rnacentral:rRNA from 1 species
UUAAUACUUAGGGAUAGUGGACGUUACUCGCAGAAUAAGCACCGGCUAACUCUGUGCCAGCAGCCGCGGUAAUACAGAGGGUGCAAGCGUUAAUCGGAUUUACUGGGCGUAAAGCGCGCGUAGGUGGCCAAUUAAGUCAAAUGUGAAAUCCCCGAGCUUAACUUGGGAAUUGCAUUCGAUACUGGUUGGCUAGAGUAUGGGAGAGGAUGGUAGAAUUCCAGGUGUAGCGGUGAAAUGCGUAGAGAUCUGGAGGAAUACCGAUGGCGAAGGCAGCCAUCUGGCCUAAUAC